UCUCUCUCUCUCUCUCUUUCUUUCAUUCCAUAUGAUUUAAUUAAAGAUUUGCCUCUAGAAAUGGCAAUAUUAGGAUAAGUUGUGUGGGAAGAAAUUGUUUCAUUUUCAAGGCCCCGGAGAAUUGCAUGCCAUAUGUGUGCUGUAGUUCGAGUUGCUGCAAUGUUAGCCGUGUAGUGGUAGAAUUGUGCAGUGGUUGAAAUUGUUGCAUAAUGUUGAGUUUUUGUUUACUCUGCUCCAGGAUCUGUGUACACUGGGGUUG
rnacentral:misc_RNA from 1 species